ACUGGUUGAUCCUGCCAGUAGUCAUAUGCUUGUCUUAAAGAUUAAGCCAUGCAUGUUUAAGUUCAUACCUUUGAAUGGUGAAACCGCGAAUGGCUCAUUAAAUCAGUUAUAAUUUCAUGGGAUGUGUUUUGUUAAUUGGAUAACUGUGGUAAUUCUAGAGCUAAUACAUGCAUAUACGUUCAACUUCGGUUGGAUGUGCUUUUAUUAGUGCAAACCAUGUCGUAAGACUAUAGGUGGUGACUCUGAAUAACUUUGCCGAGCAUUUCGGCCUUGUGUCGGUGCUAUUCCUUCAAAGUAUCUGCUCUAUCAACUGUCGAUGGUAUAUUAUAUGUUUACCAUGGUUGUAACGGGUAACGGGGAAUCAGGGUUCGAUUCCGGAGAGGGAGCCUGAGAAACGGCUACCACAUCUAAGGAAGGCAGCAGGCGCGCAAAUUACCCAAUCUCGGCUCGGGGAGGUAGUGACAAAAAAUAACAAUGCGGGUCUUAAAUGAGGCUUCGUAAUUGGAAUGAGUACAUUCUAAAUCCUUUAACGAGGAACUAUUGGAAGGCAAGUCUGGUGCCAGCAGCCGCGGUAAUUCCAGCUCCAAUAGCGUAUAUUAAAAUUGUUGCGUCUAAAAAGCUCGUAGUUUGAAAACUUGCCUUGACUUGCAAUAGGUCCACAUGGGCCACCGUUUGUCGAGCGCAAAUAUGGAUGACUGUUUUUGCCGGCUUAAUUGUUUGGCUUAUAAGAGUUAUCAAAUAUCACUUUGAUUAAAUUAGAGUGCUUAAAGCAAGUGUAUUACUUGAAUAUAAAUGCAUGGAAUGAUGGAAUAUGUUAUUGUUCUAUUUGUUGGUUUUGGAACGAUGAAAUGAUUGAAAGGAACUGAUGGGGGCAUUCGUAUUGUUGUGAGAGAGGUGAAAUUCUUAGACCACAGCAAGACGAACUACUGCGAAAGCAUUUGCCAAGAAUGUUUUCAUUGAUCAAGAACGAAAGUUAGAGGUUCGAAGGCGAUCAGAUACCGCCCUAGUUCUAACCAUAAACUAUGCCAACUAGCAAUUUGCAAGAUCUGCUUCUCCAGAAACCGUACUGGGCAUCUAAUAGGGUACUCUUUUCUUGGAUC
rnacentral:rRNA from 1 species